rnacentral:rRNA from 1 species
CCUACGGGUGGCUGCAGUAGGGAAUCUUCGGCAAUGGGGGCAACCCUGACCGAGCAACGCCGCGUGAGUGAAGAAGGUUUUCGGAUCGUAAAACUCUGUUGUUAGAGAAGAACGUUAAGUAGAGUGGAAAAUUACUUAAGUGACGGUAUCUAACCAGAAAGGGACGGCUAACUACGGGCCAGCAGUCGCGGUAAUACGUAGGGCCCAAGCGUUGCACGGAUUUGUUGGGCGUAAAGCGAGCGCAGGUGGUUUCUUAAGUAUGCUUGAAAAGGCAGUGGCUCAACCAUUGUGUGCAUUGGAAACUGGGAGACUUGAGUGCAGGAGAGGAGAGUGGAAUUCCAUGUGUAGCGGUGAAAUGCGUAGAUAUAUGGAGGAACACCGGAGGCGAAAGCGGCUCUCUGGCCUGUAACUGACACUGAGGCUCGAAAGCGUGGGGAGCAAACAGGAUUAGAUACCCUUGUAGUC